UACGUAGGUGGCAAGCGUUGUCCGGAAUUAUUGGGCGUAAAGCGCGCGCAGGCGGUCCCUUAAGUCUGAUGUGAAAGCCCACGGCUCAACCGUGGAGGUCAUUGGAAACUGGGGGACUUGAGUACAGAAGAGGAAAGCGGAAUUCCACGUGGUAGCGGUGGAAAUGCGUAGAGAUGUGGAGGAACACCAGUGGCGAAGGCGGCUUUCUGGUCUGUAACUGACGCUGAGGCGCGAAAGCGUGGGGAGCAAACAGG
rnacentral:rRNA from 1 species